rnacentral:rRNA from 1 species
GUGCGACGCCGCGUGGGGGAAUGAAGGUCUUCGGAUUGUAAACCCCUGUCAUGUGGGAGCAAAUUAAAAAGAUAGUACCACAAGAGGAAGAGACGGCUAACUCUGUGCCAGCAGCCGCGGUAAUACAGAGGUCUCAAGCGUUGUUCGGAAUCACUGGGCGUAAAGCGUGCGUAGGCUGUUUCGUAAGUCGUGUGUGAAAGGCGCGGGCUCAACCCGCGGACGGCACAUGAUACUGCGAGACUAGAGUAAUGGAGGGGGAACCGGAAUUCUCGGUGUAGCAGUGAAAUGCGUAGAUAUCGAGAGGAACACUCGUGGCGAAGGCGGGUUCCUGGACAUUAACUGACGCUGAGGCACGAAGGCCAGGGGAGCGAAAGGGAUUAGAUACCCCUGUAGUCCUGGCAGUAAACGGUGCACGCUUGGUGUGCGGGGAAUCGACCCCCUGCGUGCCGGAGUAACGCGUUAAGCGUGCCGCCUGGGGAGUACGGUCGCAAGAUUAAAACUCAAAGAAAUUGACGGGGACCCGCACAAGCGGUGGAGUAUGUGGCUUAAUUCGAUGCAACGCGAAGAACCUUACCUGGGCUUGACAUGUAAUGAACAACAUGUGAAAGCAUGCGACUCUUCGGAGGCGUUACACAGGUGCUGCAUGGCCGUCGUCAGCUCGUGUCGUGAGAUGUUUGGUUAAGUCCAGCAACGAGCGCAACCCCUGUUGCCAGUUACCAGCACGUGAAGGUGGGGACUCUGGCGAGACUGCCCAGAUCAACUGGGAGGAA